GACGAACGCUGGCGGCGUGCUUAACACAUGCAAGUCGAACGGAAAGGCCCUGCUUUUGUGGGGUGCUCGAGUGGCGAACGGGUGAGUAACACGUGAGUAACCUGCCCUUGACUUUGGGAUAACUUCAGGAAACUGGGGCUAAUACCGGAUAGGAGCUCCUGCUGCAUGGUGGGGGUUGGAAAGUUUCGGCGGUUGGGGAUGGACUCGCGGCUUAUCAGCUUGUUGGGGGGGUAGUGGCUUACCAAGGCUUUGACGGGUAGCCGGCCUGGGAGGGUGACCGGCCACCUUGGGACUGAGAUACGGCCCAGACUCCUACGGGAGGCAGCAGGGGGGAAUAUUGCACAAUGGGCGGAAGCCUGAUGCAGCAACGCCGCGUGCGGGAUGACGUCCUUCGGGUUGUAAACCGCUUUCGCCUGUGACGAAGCGUGAGUGACGGUAAUGGGUAAAGAAGCACCGGCUAACUACGUG
rnacentral:rRNA from 1 species